AUGGAAAUGUACCUGCGAUGCGCGGUGCACGACGCGCCCCGGCAAUGGCGCCGCUGGUUGCCGACCGCGGAAUUCUGGUACAACUCGUCUUUUCAUUCCUCCAUCAAAUGUUCCCCCUUCAAGGCUCUGUACGGUGUGGAGCCCAACAUCGGCGCCAUGGCAUUCUGGGAUGACAAGACGGUGCCCAUGAUCGACGGCAAGCCCUGGGACUGGGGCGUGCAUACGGCACGGCUUCGCGAGCACAUUCUUCGUGCCCAGCACAGGUUCAAGAAACAGGCUGAUCAGCACCGCACGGAGCGCUCCUUCGAGGUGGGUGAUCAUGUUCUCCUCAAGCUCCAGCCCUAUGCACAAUCAUCCGUGGCGAACCGGCCUUGUGCUAAGCUAGCUUACAAGUACUUCGGGCCCUUCGUGGUGCUCGACAGAAUCGGCAAGAUGUUGUACAAGUUGGAGUUGCCGGCAGACAGCAGGAUUCACCCUGUCUUUCACGUAUCCCAGCUCAAGCCGUUCACUCCCAACUACACCCCGGUCUUCGCCGAGCUGCCACGACCGCCAGACCUCACCGGCCAAGACGAAGAACCAGUGAAGAUCCUGGAGCGGUGCAUGGUUAAACGUGGCAACAACGCUCUGGUGCAAGUCAAAGUGCGCUGGCGCCACGACCGGACGGCAACGACAUCGGAGGAUUACGACACUCUGCGCCGCCGCUUCCCUCACGCACCGGCGUGGGACACACCAGCCGCCGCCGAGGCCGACCAGCAAGCUGCAACUGAAGAAGGAGCUCAUUCUGAAAAAGAGGGGAAUGUCACACCUGCAUCGCCAGGAAGCGAUGCGGUGGACGCGUGA
rnacentral:rRNA from 1 species